CACAGGACAGAUUAUUCUUGUUGUUUGUACUGUCACAAGGACAGAUAGUUGUAUUUGAAGCUCAUUAUUCUUUCCUUUAUUCCUGCUGAUAAACAUCCACUCAGGCCAUUCAGUGGAAAAGAGGUUGGAACUCAGCAUUGAGAGCUUCCAUUUGCAGAGCUCCUCAAAACACAAAUGAACUUUGAGACAAAACACAAUGAACUGUGUCUUAAAGGUACAAAAUCGGGGCAAAGAAAUGGGAAAGGGCAUAGCAUCAUCAAAAAUCUUGAAAACUGGAAAGAUGAAAAAGGCAUCCCCAGGUGUAAUGGCUCACAUCUGUAA